CUCCAUCCCUUUGGUAUCGAAGGCUCCAACAAUUAUUCUUGGGAUGGACGUAUCCCAUGGCUCACCUGGGCAAUCUGACGUUCCAUCAAUUGCUGCUGUAAUAUACUCUGCUCUUUUUACUUGUCUGCCUCUUUGAAUAGCUUCAACCUCCUGAAAAACCAACUAUUUGCAAGUUUUAGUAAAUAAGAAUUUUGAUUCAUGAAUAUACUGUCAUUCUAUAACAGAGACAUGAAAGAUAAAUCUUAUCACUUACUAUACUGUUCUGCUCUUUUACCGUUGAUUAAAAUAAAUUCACAGGUUGUUAGUUCCCGGCAGUGGCCACUGAUUUCACGUUAUAGGGCAUCGGUUCGUACUCAGUCCCCAAAGGUUGAAAUGGUAGAUUCCUUGUUCAAAAAAGUUUCUGACACUGAAGAUGAUGGAAUAAUGAGGUGGGAUUUCCUUAAGUUUUAAGUAGGUGGUACCAGGUGUUUGUGUGGUUACAUGCAUUUGUGCUGUUCAGAAUUACUUUAUAUAAACCUAUUGAUUUAUAAUAAAAAAACACCUAUUGAUUUAUAAUAAAAUUGAGUUGUUUGAAUUAUUAAUAUUAGAUAAUUUACGCUAUUAGAUAAAAGAAAAGAAGAGAAAGUUCAAAUCCCUAAAGAAUAGAAAUAGAAGGGGGGUGAUAAUAACUUUCCUUCCUUGUGUUUGUGAGUUAAGGUCCUUAAGAGAGAAAGUGGACAUGGAAGGAAUUAAAAUUUUAGUGUUUUUAUUCCAAGGUAGAGUGGGAAUAAAGAAUUUUUGUAUAGAAGUAAAAGAGUUUUCCACCAAAAUCUUCCUAAUUUCUGGUGGAAAGCUUUGGGUAGAAAGUUGGGGUUACUUUCCACCCAUUUUCCUCACUUACUCUCCUUAUAAAAACUUACAAUCAUAACAUUUGGAAGGAAACUUUUAAAACCCUUUCACUUCCUUUAUUGCUCUUUUUGAAACUCACAAACACUUAGGGAUUUAAUGACCGUAACUGAUCCCAGAAAUUUACUCCCAUUAAUUUUUUUAUUUUUUUCCCUCGUGGUCAAUUUUAAAGGUGAUAUUUCUCUUGAAUUUCAGGGAGCUUUUGGUAGACUUCUAUGCGAGUUCAGGGAAGAGGAAGCCUGAUCAGAUAAUCAUAUUCAGGUAUAUAUAUGUAUAUCUGUAUGAUUAUUCAGUUAGUAGCAUGUAUUUCCCUACUCUAUAGAUGGCAUUUGGUCUUUUUGCUAAGAUAAAGACAAAAUUUAAAAACAAUUAAAUACAAUAUUAGCACUUGACUACUUGAUUAGUAGAAGUAUUUUUGCCUUCUCAUGAUUCUUUCUUACCUACUCACGGUAUAUAUAGAGGUAGGGCUUGAGCAGAAGUCAUAUUGUGUAAUUUUGAUGUACGAGCAGUUGAGCAAUUAAAAAUUGGAAGUAAAUAAGGUAGAUUUUGAUAUGAUUAUGUCAAGCCCUUGUUGGCUCUUAACCAGAAAAUAAGAGCGAAACAGAAAUAUUGAUGGAUAGAAUUAGAGAAAACAGAGAGAAAAGGGAGGAAGAAGGAGAAGAACACAGUGAAUACUCACUGUGUUCGUGAAAUAUAGAGAGAAAUGGAGUAGCUGAAAGCUUCACUCAAUUCAUCAUAAAAUUCAUAAUAUCAAACUUGGGGAUUACUCCAGCCAUUACACAUAUAUAUUAUAGCUACUAAAAUGCUGAAAAGUGUAAAUAUUUCUGACCUACAUCGCUCUCUUAUCCUACACACAUGCCAACAACCUCCAUGUGCACACUUCUGCAUACAAAAUAUCUAAGAAUAUACUAACUAUUUUAGUUAUGCCCACUUUACCCUUUCCUUUGCAUUCUUGACAUUCCCUCCUCCUUAAGAACAUUCAUAUCCUGAAUUUGUAUCAAAAAUAGAACAAUUGUAAUCCACGCUACUGUCUCUCCCUGAUUUCCUCCAGGAUCAAAGAUGAAAGAUGAAGCUUUCGAGUUUGCUCAUUAAAAUUUUGCCAUUGCAAGGCCUGUACAUGUUCAAUGAAAAGUUUAUCUUUACUAAUCCCUUCUUGCUUUUUAGUUGUUCCCAUCAAAUUUCAAGGGAUACCCCACAGUUUGAACGAAAGAUUUUGAGGUCAUUUGCACAUCCUUCAGCUUCAUUUUCCAUUUGAAGAGUGACCACUUAUAGCUGCCAAAACCAUUCAUACGAACACUAAUUACCCUCUUGACUUGGCUAGAAACAUCUACUUUUUGCACAUAAUUUGCUUGGAAGGACAUAAUGUAUGAAUGAUUCUGUCCCAAUUUGAAUUUGUUGGAAGCCUUUGCCCUCAAAACUAGUGGAUAAUCUUGCUUUUGUACACCAACUAUUUCAUCUCUUUUAUGCACAAGUAUAAACACUUAUCCCUAGUGGCCUCCAUAUGUCCUUGUUAACAAGGAGCUUUUACUUGAGAUUCUCCAAUCUACUUUGACUCCAAACCUUGCCAACUUGGAGCUCUUACUUAAAAUCAAUUUAAGUUCUUCAUUGUUUCUCAUUUUUUUUACCGUUGGUCUUUCAAUUCCUUGUACAAUUUCAGCAACAACUAGAAAAUUUCUCCAACUAUGACCAGUUUUUAUGGAAAAUGACUUGGUUUCAGGUUGUAGGUCCUCUUUAGGGAGAUUGGUCAAUAUUUAAAUUUCUCAAAGGUUUCAACAGCUGGAAAUUUCCAUUGAAGGUCAUCUCUCAACAAAAAAUGAACUAAAAGCACCCGAACCUUCUCAUUACCAACACUAAAAGUAGCAUCUUGAACAUUUAAAGCAUAGAUAACUACCUUGCCACGGUCAUUCCCUUUGUUGAUAGCAUUCCAAUGAAAUGGCCUAUUGAAGAUCAAAAUAGAUGGUCUUGAUUUCAAGUUGAUCCUUCACGAAGGAGUGCUGGUUUUCAAGGUUAUCUUCUAGGUGAAAAUGUUAAAAGGAACACUUCUGUUUUGUCCCUCCAAGGAUUAGGCUUCACAAACUAUUCCCUUUUGAUAAUAGAUAACUUGUCUUCUACAUCAACAGUUCUCAAGAGUUAGUUAACUUGAUCUCGAUCUCAUUCUUUUUACAAGUAUCAACUUGUAGUUCAUUCGUAUAUAUGGAUAACACCAUAUAUAUAUAUCGGUCAAAUUUUUAACCUUAUGAUUUAAAUAUUCUAUAUUUUAAUAUAUCAAGUUGCACAACAUUAAUGAUAAAGAUUGUUCUUGGCAACAGAGGGACGCAUUCCGGUAAUUUUGACAUCUUACCCGCGUUCAUUAGUGUAACCUCAGUGCUUACAGAACUUCCAAUAUCAUUUAAUACACUCACUUAGACAUAUAUCUUUAUAGAUAUAUCUAUUCAUAACACACUUUACUUGGAACGGAACAACCUUGCGAUGAAUUUGGUUUCUUCAUCGAUGCUAAAUCUCUAUUCUUACAGCACUCACAAUGUUAUUCAAUAUCCUCAUUCAGAUAUAUAGUUCUUUAUCAACAUUGUAUUAAUGUUUUACUAUCUAUCUGAAGUUCAGAGUAUCGGCAUAACAUGAUCAAUCCAUAUUACCAAUAACCCCACUCAGAUUAAUAGAUCUUUAACAGUUUUUAGUUAUAUCAAAUUAAAGACAUAAUACCAUUCUGAUGAUAAUAACAUGAUAUUAUUAAUAUAAUCUUCGAUUACAUAUGACUUUAUUCAAAUACAAGUAAAUAAAACAUGAAAUUUAAUCUGUGCUUCUUCUUUACGUUCAUGAUCUUAUCAUUCUUCUUUAACUGCAAAUAAAGUUUUAAUCGUAAAAAUGAGCACGACGGCUUAGCAAGUCUAACAAAUAACACAUACACAAAUUAUGCUUUCAUAUAAACUUUAACAUACUUUCGACUUAUUUUAUUCCUCAAUUUAAUAUCACAAUUAACUUUUAUUUCAACAAUUUAUAUCACAUUGUCACACAAAGCGUAUAAAUCAGGUUCAUAACUUGUAAACAUAACACAUAACAGUUAUAAUACUUGCCUUUUCACCUUUACCGUUUACGCUAAUUUUGCGUCUCUCGAUCAACCUAUAUCAUUUAUGAGAUCGACAUACAAUUUAGUCACCACAUGACUCUUACUCUAGUUCACCUUAACUAGUAAUUAGCCUUUAAACCUGAACCUAACUUCAUAUUUUUAACUUUUACGAUAAUUGAUUUCAAAACUUGUUUAAUUAAUAACUAAUUCAAAUCAAGUCGGAAUUGGCUCAUCUUUGGAUGGUGACCUAUGUAUAACAUGGUCUAACUACCUCCAUAAGUGGCAUGAACCCCAAAAUUCUCGUGCUCAAAAAGUUCCGAACAACCCUCUUUUUAUUGUUCACUAGCAGAAUAUUUUCAGCAGUACCUUGGCUCAUUAUUUAAUUCAUAAUUAAUUCAUAUUAAUGCAUAUUUGAGUGAUUCUUUCGCCCAUGUCUUUGUAACUCCCCCCUCUACAAUUUUGCUUUGUAUUUCAUAACCAAAUUUCAAACAUAUGAUUUUAUAUAACUUUUACAAUAACAGUUCAGAUUAGGGGUUUUUCAUUUCAUACUUUCAAUCUCUCUAACUAGUUACCACUUGGGUUAAUUAGUUAGUUUUCAUCUUUUAUGACUUAAUAACAUUGUAUUACAUUAUCAUAAUCUUAAACAUGUAAUAUUUCAUGCAUUCUACUCAAGAGCAUAAACUAAAUUUAUAACAACAUACUUUUGAAGUGCUAGCUUUUCGAUACUUGAAAAUACAAGACUUUAGCUUUUUUUUUCCUUCUCUCAAUUAUCAAUAUAACUCCCUCUUAUGAUUACUCUAGCCUCUUUUGCUC
rnacentral:lncRNA from 1 species